ACUCUGCAUAGACAACCAAUCCCUCACAUCCAUACGGUUUCUAUGCGAGCAUAUACAGCUUUCCAGAAGCCUUCAGAUUUUUUUAACUAGGUUGUCUCGAUGCAAAUAUUCUGCAAGAAGAAGCUUUAGGAGUGAGAGAGAAAUAAACAAUGCCGAGAGGGAAAAUGGAGUUGUCAAAGAAGGAUAUCUUGAUGGAGAAUGGUGCUGACUGUCCAGGGGUCCCACUGGAGUGGUUUGUGUCUCUCAUGGGGAGGAAGAUGUCGGCAGAAGAUCCAUAUGAGAAGACGAGGCAGAUCUUCAGUGCAUUUGAUGUACACUGUCAUGCCUUCUUGAAGCUGGAUGACUUCAAAAGCAUUUUCAAGCGAGUUGCCCCUCAUCUGCUGGAGAGGACUGUGUUAGAGGGUUUCUGUACACCCCUCAUGUCCAUGGCUAGAAGCCCUAUAGGGUCUAUCCGCAUCUAUAUCUGAGACCAUCUCUGGCUUUCCUCCCUGACAAACCCCCACUCACAUUGCUGAUCUCAAAGGCUUACAUUGUUCCUGACAUUUGCUGCAGUGCUCCACAUUUGAAUUUCCUCCCAAGCAUGUGUUGACUUUUCGAGAGGGGGUGAGCGAGAUGAAGUGUUAAUGGAGACGAUGUGGAACCCUGGUGAUGUCCCAUCAGUUCACAGGCCCGGCUCACGCAGGAGAGCAUCAGUCCUACUAAUCAGCAGCAAGAGCCACGCACAUGGAAAGCUGCCAUCCUUACCUCUUCAAUACUAGGGUCAUUUCAUCCCCAGCAGGGCUUCCUCAUAUGGAACCUCAUUUCUCCUCUGGAUUUCUCAUCUGUACCUGACUGGGCUCAGAUACUCCACGCCCACUCUCUCCGCUGAGCUUUAAAGUCCUGCUGUAUAACCCAAAAAUUUUACACUUGAUUUGUAACCGUGGCUCCUUCUGUAGACAUGAGCAAAAAUCGACUUUUGAUAUUAUGGUAAUUCGGUAGCAGGAGUUCUGUUUUGUCUUGGAGAGUGCACUCUCGCCGCUUUUUCCCCGUCCUUGGUGCGGAGCCAGUGCCUUGAUCUGGAACCUUCUAUGUUUAUGCAAUGUGGUAAAAUUGAUACUAGACAAGAUCGCUCACAGCAAUAAACAGUAUUGGGAAAAAUUAAGAAUAGAAUUUGCUAUCUAUCCAUCCGUCCAUCUGUCUGUCUGUCUGAUUCCUCUCUUCGUCUGUCUGUAGGGAUCUCCAUAAAUGAGACCGAGGCUAUACACAGCUCAAUGUAAGCCAACGAUCCUAUACAUUCAAGAUACAUAUGAAACAGCUAACGAUGCAAUGCGAUUCACCCCAGUUAUGAUGCAGUGCGAUCCGAUUCAACACAAUGCGAUUCAAUGUAAUACGAUGCAAUGGGAAAAAAUAUGAUGCUAUGCAAUAUUCAAUAUGGUAGAUAGUUCGCAAGCAACUACACAAGUAGCUACACAAAUACUAUAUAAAGGUAUGCACAAUAUACUAGUGAAAAAAAAGCAAAAACUCAAUACAUAUGUCAUAAUCCUACAGGAGGCAAAAAAUUAUGUAUAUAAAUUAAACAAUAUUAUCGAGUAAUAAUCUUACAAAUCAACAACAGCCCAGCAAAUAAAAUUAAAUAUCACUCACCACUUAAAUGGCUUCUUCCUGUUCUUCUUAA